GAUGAACGCUAGCGAUAGGCUUAACACAUGCAAGUCGAGGGGCAGCAUGGUCUUAGCUUGCUAAGACUGAUGGCGACCGGCGCACGGGUGCGUAACGCGUAUGCAACUUGCCUCACAGAGGGGGAUAACCCGUCGAAAGACGGACUAAUACCGCGUACACUUGGGAUAGGGCAUCCUGACCCAAGGAAAUGAAAUUCGCUGUGAGAUAGGCAUGCGUCCCAUUAGCUAGUUGGUGAGGUAACGGCUCACCAAGGCGACGAUGGGUAGGGGAACUGAGAGGUUGAACCCCCACACUGGUACUGAGACACGGACCAGACUCCUACGGGAGGCAGCAGUGAGGAAUAUUGGGCAAUGGGCGAGAGCCUGAACCAGCCAAGUCGCGUGAAGGAUGACUGUCUUAUGGAUUGUAAACUUCUUUUAUACGGGAAUAACAAGAGUCACGUGUGGCUCCCUGCAUGUACCGUAUGAAUAAGCAUCGGCUAACUCCGUG
rnacentral:rRNA from 1 species